GAUGAACGCUGGCGGCGUGCCUAAUACAUGCAAGUCGAGCGAACGGACGAGAAGCUUGCUUCUCUGAUGUUAGCGGCGGACGGGUGAGUAACACGUGGAUAACCUACCUAUAAGACUGGGAUAACUUCGGGAAACCGUAGCUAAUACCGGAUAAUAUUUUGAACCGCAUGGUUCAAAAGUGAAAGACGGUCUUGCUGUCACUUAUAGAUGGAUCCGCGCUGCAUUAGCUAGUUGGUAAGGUAACGGCUUACCAAGGCAACGAUGCAUAGCCGACCUGAGAGGGUGAUCGGCCACACAGGAACUGAGACACGGUCCAGACUCCUACGGGAGGCAGCAGUAGGGAAUCUUCCGCAAUGGGCGAAAGCCUGACGGAGCAACGCCGCGUGAGUGAUGAAGGUCUUCGGAUCGUAAAACUCUGUUAUUAGGGAAGAACAUAUGUGUAAGUAACUGUGCACAUCUUGACGGUACCUAAUCAGAAAGCCACGGCUAACUACGU
rnacentral:rRNA from 1 species